rnacentral:rRNA from 1 species
AGUGAACGCUGGCGGCAGGCCUAACACAUGCAAGUCGAACGGCAGCACAGGAGAGCUUGCUCUCUGGGUGGCGAGUGGCGGACGGGUGAGGAAUAUAUCGGAAUCUACCCUUUCGUGGGGGAUAACGUAGGGAAACUUACGCUAAUACCGCAUACGAACUGAGGUUGAAAGCGGCGGACCGCACGGCGUCGCGCGGAUGGAUGAGCCGAUAUCCGAUUAGCUAGUUGGCGGGGUAAAGGCCCACCAAGGCGACGAUCGGUAGCUGGUCUGAGAGGAUGAUCAGCCACACUGGAACUGAGACACGGUCCAGACUCCUACGGGAGGCAGCAGUGGGGAAUAUUGGACAAUGGGCGCAAGCCUGAUCCAGCCAUGCCGCGUGUGUGAAGAAGGCCUUCGGGUUGUAAAGCACUUUUGUUGGGAAAGAAAAGCGGUCGGUUAAUACCCGGUCGUUCUGACGGUACCCAAAGAAUAAGCACCGGCUAACUUCGUGCCAGCCGCCGCCGUAAUAC